UUUUUUUUCUUUUCUUUUUUGACUUAGGACAGUUCUGACCUGAUGACCACAGUGAGGUUUCCUCUAAAAGUUAUUUUUCUACUUUUUUCUGUUAGCAAAGCAGAUGCCGCUACAGAUUGAAUGCAUUUGGGCCAUCUAAGUUACUGGGGAUUGAUUAAGAAGUCAGUGGCUUUCAUGCCCUUACACUGACAACAGGCUGGUAGGGGGAGAAGACCUUCAAUUAUCAAUUAUAGGUUUUGAAUUUACCCUGGCUUUUAAAGGAAUAGGGCACACCGUUUUCUCUUUACUACUUCUAUUUGUCUUUCUUUCUUUGACUUUGUCUCUCUUUUUCUCUCUUUGACUCCCUCUUUGUCUCUCUGUCUCUUCCUCUCUCUCUUUCUGCUUCUCUUUUUCUCUUUCUCUUUCCCCUCUCUCUCCUCCCCUCUGCUGGUCUUUUUCCCUGCUCUCAGCUGCUGCACUCCCCUUUUCCCCUCUUCCCUACGAGGGAUCUGGCUACCCUUUCUUCCCCCGAGAAGAAAGGAAAGGGGGGUUCUGAAUAUUUUUGUUACUACCAGAGGUUUGUGUGAGGUUCAACCCCCUCCAUGGGGAUUUCAUAUCUCUUUCUGAGGUUCACUGCCCCCAUUACGGGUCUUUUUGAGAUAUUUUUCAGACUGAGUACACUUGAACUCUACUGAUCCUGUGGCCCAAACCCAGAGAUGGACUUGGUGCAUGAGGAUAGUUUUCCACACCCCUAUGAUUUCAUCCCAACCAAUCAGCAGCACCAUUCCCUAGCCCUCUGCCCACCACAUUGUCCAUAUAAACCCCUAACACCGGAGCCUUUAGGGUGACUGAUGUGAGUCAUAACUCCAGUUCUCCCAUGUGGGCUGGCCUUGGGUCAAUUAAACUCUUUCUCUACUUAAUGCCGUGGUCUCAGUGAAUUGAUUUUGUCUGUUCAGCAGGCAGGAAGAAUUUGUAGGACGAUUACAUGUUUAUCAUAAAUUCACCACUGCAUGAUGCCACAUCAAGGAAAAUGGGCAGAAUAAUUACCCAUGAUCAGAGACUGUUUAACCCAUGAACAUUUUCACAGAGCCCUCCAGACCUUUGUGCAAAUCCUUUAACAGAAACUUCGUAGGAUACUACAUUGCAACAAAGACAAAGUAUGUGGAUAAAGGGGCAGGAGAGUUUGUAAUAUUCUAAAAGUUAAUUACAGUUAUAUAUAUUUCUAUUGCCUUAGCUUUAAGAUCUUCCUAAAAGGAAAGUGGGAAGCACUGCACUGUAGUUCAGUGGUGUGGUAUAAUAUGAAAUACAAACAGUAUCUUUGAUCUUUAUCUCCAGUUCCUGACACACUUGGAAUUUCCUGAGUGAUAGAAAUGUCUUUUGUUAUUCACAGGGAGCUCCUUUGAUAAUGAGGAAGUUUAUGCUAAUAAGGCGACUUAGGGUAGGGCCCCUAGAUAGCCUCAGGCUGGGGCCAAAUUGCCAGAAAGACCAAGUGAUUAGAGAGUUGGAAGUUUUGGCAUCAACCUCCAGGAAAGGGGGUGGGGCUGGACAUUAAGCUCUAAAAACUCCUCAACAAGGGUUGAGCUUCAGAUAGCUGAACAAGUGGAAGUUCCUGGAGGGUGGUGCCCAGAGAGGGCGUGGAAGGCCUGCACCUCCCCCAACACCUCACCCCAUGAUUCUCUUCAUCCGGUGUUCCUUUUUAUCCUUUUAAAAUGUCUUUCAUCAAUAAACUGGCAA
ensembl:lncRNA